rnacentral:rRNA from 1 species
CCUACUGGGGGCAGCAGUGGGGAAUUUUGGACAAUGGGCGAAAGCCUGAUCCAGCCAUGCCGCGUGCGGGAAGAAGGCCUUCGGGUUGUAAACCGCUUUUGUCAGGGAAGAAAAGCGCCAGGCUAAUACCUUGGCGUCAUGACGGUACCUGAAGAAUAAGCACCGGCUAACUACGUGCCAGCAGCCGCGGUAAUACGUAGGGUGCAAGCGUUAAUUGGAAUUACUGGGCGUAAAGGGUGAGGAGGCGGUCGAAAUCCCCGGGCUCAACCUGGGAACUGCAUUUGUGACUGCACGGCUUGAGUGCGGCAGAGGGGAAUGGAAUUCCGCAUGUAGCAGUGAAAUGCGUAGAUAUGCGGAGGAACACCGAUGGCGAAGGCAAUUCCCUGGGCCUGCACUGACGCUCAUGCACGAAAGCGUGGGGAGCAAACAGGAUUAGAUACCCGAGUAGUC